rnacentral:rRNA from 1 species
UCGUGGAGUGAUCUGUCUGGUUAAUUCCGUUAACGAACGAGAUCUCAGCUUACUAAUUAGUUGCGUGAAUUCUGAUUAUUCACGAUGGCGUCGUAUGACGUCGUCAACUUCUUAGAGGGACAAUUGGUUUUCGAACCAAAGGAAGUUUGAGGCAAUAACA